AACGAACGCUGGCGGCAUGCCUAACACAUGCAAGUCGAGCGAACAGACGAGGAGCUUGCUCCUCUGACGUUAGCGGCGGACGGGUGAGUAACACGUGGAUAACCUACCUAUAAGACUGGGAUAACUUCGGGAAACCGGAGCUAAUACCGGAUAAUAUAUUGAACCGCAUGGUUCAAUAGUGAAAGACGGUUUUGCUGUCCCUUAUAGAUGGAUCCGCGCCGCAUUAGCUAGUUGGUAAGGUAACGGCUUACCAAGGCAACGAUGCGUAGCCGACCUGAGAGGGUGAUCGGCCACACUGGAACUGAGACACGGUCCAGACUCCUACGGGAGGCAGCAGUAGGGAAUCUUCCGCAAUGGGCGAAAGCCUGACGGAGCAACGCCGCGUGAGUGAUGAAGGUCUUCGGAUCGUAAAACUCUGUUAUUAGGGAAGAACAAAUGUGUAAGUAACUAUGCACGUCUUGACGGUACCUAAUCAGAAAGCCACGGCUAACUACGUG
rnacentral:rRNA from 1 species